AGAGUUUGAUCCUGGCUCAGAACGAACGCUGGCGGCGUGCUUAACACAUGCAAGUCGAGCGAGAAAGGGGGGGCAACCCCCUGAGUAGAGCGGCGCACGGGUGAGUAACGCGUGGGUAACCUACCCCCAGGCGGGGGAUAACUACUCGAAAGGGUGGCUAAUACCGCAUGAGACCACGGGAUCUUCGGAUCCUGAGGCUAAAGAUCGCACCGGCUUGCCGGUGCUGUCACCAGGGGAUGGGCCCGCGUCCGAUUAGCUAGUUGGCGAGGUAAUGGCUCACCAAGGCUCCGAUCGGUAGCUGGUCUGAGAGGAUGAUCAGCCACACUGGAACUGAAACACGGUCCAGACUCCUACGGGAGGCAGCAGUGAGGAAUAUUGCGCAAUGGGGGAAACCCUGACGCAGCAACGCCGCGUGGGUGAAGAAGGCCUUCGGGUCGUAAAGCCCUUUCGGACGGGACGAACGCUCCGCGGUGACAAGCCGCGGAGUCUGACGGUACCGUAGGAAGAAGCACCGGCUAACUCCGUGCCAGCAGCCGCGGUAAUACGGAGGGUGCGAGCGUUGUUCGGAAUUACUGGGCGUAAAGCGCGUGUAGGCGGCCUUGCAAGUCAGGCGUGAAAGCCCUCGGCUUAACCGGGGAAGUGCGUCUGAAACUGCUUGGCUUGAGUACGGGAGAGGGAGGCGGAAUUCCCAGUGUAGAGGUGAAAUUCGUAGAUAUUGGGAGGAACACCGGUGGCGAAAGCGGCCUCCUGGACCGAUACUGACGCUGAGACGCGAAAGCGUGGGGAGCAAACAGGAUUAGAUACCCUGGUAGUCCACGCGGUAAACGAUGGGCACUAGGUGUGGGGGGUAUCCACUCCUCCCGUGCCGAAGCUAACGCAUUAAGUGCCCCGCCUGGGGAGUACGGCCGCAAGGUUAAACUCAAGGAAUUGACGG
rnacentral:rRNA from 1 species